rnacentral:rRNA from 1 species
AACGAACGCUGGCGGCAGGCCUAACACAUGCAAGUCGAGCGAAGCCUUCGGGCUUAGCGGCGGACGGGUGAGUAACGCGUGGGAACGUGCCCUUUGGUACGGAAUAGCCCCGGGAAACUGGGAGUAAUACCGUAUGUGCCCUUCGGGGGAAAGAUUUAUCGCCAAAGGAUUGGCCCGCGUUGGAUUAGGUAGUUGGUGGGGUAAUGGCCUACCAAGCCGACGAUCCAUAGCUGGUUUGAGAGGAUGAUCAGCCACACUGGGACUGAGACACGGCCCAGACUCCUACGGGAGGCAGCAGUGGGGAAUCUUAGACAAUGAGGGAAACCCUGAUCUAGCCAUGCCGCGUGAUCGAUGAAGGCCUUAGGGUUGUAAAGAUCUUUCAGUGGGGAAGAUAAUGACUGUACCCACAGAAGAAGCCCCGGCUAACUCCGUGCCAGCAGCCGCAGUAAUAC